rnacentral:rRNA from 1 species
GACGAACGCUGGCGGCGUGCUUAACACAUGCAAGUCGAGCGGUAAGGCCCUUCGGGGUACACGAGCGGCGAACGGGUGAGUAACACGUGGGUGACCUGCCUCUAGCUCUGGGAUAAGCCUGGGAAACUGGGUCUAAUACCGGAUAUGACUCCACGGCGCAUGUUGUGGGUGGAAAGCCUUGUGUGGCUAGAGAUGGGCCCGCGGCCUAUCAGCUUGUUGGUGGGGUGANGGCCUACCAAGGCGACGACGGGUAGCCGGCCUGAGAGGGCGACCGGCCACACUGGGACUGAGACGACGGCCCAGACUCCGUACGGGAGGCAGCAGUGGGGAAUCUUGCGCAAUGGGCGAAAGCCUGACGCAGCGACGCCGCGUG